rnacentral:lncRNA from 1 species
GACGGUCCCUGUCCUCGCCUCUGCAUGCCACACGACAAGUUGGUGUCACCUGGCAGAUUACUCUGACGUACAGCAUGGGACCUCGGGGCAAGAACACAAAAUAUUUCAUCUGUUGGUGUUUUGUUCAGAUUUUCAAAAGGCCUACUAAAAGCCUGGAACUUGGAAUUACACUAUUUUUUGCCCACAGGAUUACCAUUCUUUUUAAAAGGUGUCCGGUAAUUCUUUUGAGUCCCACCUGCCGGGCGCAAGCAUUUUGAAGAUGCUCCCUAAACUGUCUCGGCCUCGGUCGGAUAUCCCAAUCUUUUCAAGCACUGACUUUGGCUCUGGUAUGUUUAAAGACCGUCCUUUGGGGAUGAUCUUAUUUAAAAUAUUGUGUACAUCCUGCGUCUGUGCAUGCAGCACAUGUGUGGGCGCGUGCAGCAGGGCACACCUGUGUUGGUCCGAGGACAGCCCUGUGCAGCUGAGCCUUCUGAGCCUUCCAUCUUCUCAUCCUGGCGGUCCUCUCCAAAGCUGCCUUCCUCCUGCCACUGAGGACGUGCACCGGUCCAGCUUCUGCUGUGUGGAUGAAGGUGUUUAUAAAUGUUCCUGCCACCCCUGGGGGAAGCUAUGGGACACCAAGCAUUCCAGCUCCUAUAGGACACCGUCUCUCCUUACCUGGCUUAUCUACGCCAUGAU